UGGCGAACGGGUGAGUAACACGUGGGCAAUCUGCCCUGCACUCUGGGACAAGCCCUGGAAACGGGGUCUAAUACCGGAUACUGAUCCUCGCAGGCAUCUGCGAGGUUCGAAAGCUCCGGCGGUGCAGGAUGAGCCCGCGGCCUAUCAGCUAGUUGGUGAGGUAACGGCUCACCAAGGCGACGACGGGUAGCCGGCCUGAGAGGGCGACCGGCCACACUGGGACUGAGACACGGCCCAGACUCCUACGGGAGGCAGCAGUGGGGAAUAUUGCACAAUGGGCGAAAGCCUGAUGCAGCGACGCCGCGUGAGGGAUGACGGCCUUCGGGUUGUAAACCUCUUUCAGCAGGGAAGAAGCGAAAGUGACGGUACCUGCAGAAGAAGCGCCGGCUAACUACGUGCCAGCAGCCGCGGUAAUACGUAGGGCGCAAGCGUUGUCCGGAAUUAUUGGGCGUAAAGAGCUCGUAGGCGGCUUGUCACGUC
rnacentral:rRNA from 1 species